UACGAAGGGGGCUAGCGUUGCUCGGAAUCAGGGGCGUAAAGCGCACGUAGGCGGACUCUUAAGUCGGGGGUGAAAGCCCCGGGCUCAACCUGGGAACUGCAUUCAAAACUGACAAGCUAGAGUAUGGUAGAGGGUGGUGGAAUUUCCUGUGUAGCGGUGAAAUGCGUAGAUAUAGGAAGGAACACCAGUGGCGAAGGCGACCACCUGGACCGAUACUGACACUGAGGCGCGAAAGCUAGGGGAGCAAACGGG
rnacentral:rRNA from 1 species